CCUACGGGUCGCUGCAGUGGGGAAUAUUGGACAAUGGGCGAAAGCCUGAUCCAGCCAUGCCGCGUGUGUGAAGAAGGCCUUCGGGUUGUAAAGCACUUUCAGUGGGGAAGAAAGCCUUGGGGCUAAUACCCUCGAGGAAGGACAUCACCCACAGAAGAAGCACCGGCUAACUCCGUGCCAGCAGCCGCGGUAAUACGGAGGGUGCGAGCGUUAAUCGGAAUUACUGGGCGUAAAGCGCGCGUAGGCGGUCUGAUAAGCCGGUUGUGAAAGCCCCGGGCUCAACCUGGGAACGGCAUCCGGAACUGUCAGGCUAGAGUGCAGGAGAGGAAGGUAGAAUUCCCGGUGUAGCGGUGAAAUGCGUAGAGAUCGGGAGGAAUACCAGUGGCGAAGGCGGCCUUCUGGACUGACACUGACGCUGAGGUGCGAAAGCGUGGGUAGCAAACAGGAUUAGAUACCCCAGUAGUC
rnacentral:rRNA from 1 species